CCUGUGGACAAAUACAUACUCGCUUUAUCCCAGCGCAGUUGUGAUGCUUACUGACUUUUUUCUAGCUCUUGCUCUGCUGCUAAUAACUAGCUCACACCAAGUUCUGAUCUCACUGAUUGGGAAAGAGCUUAAUAGAGCAUGGUGGUUAUGCUCUUGGCCACACAAGCUGGAGUUUAAAUCUCAGCUCCACUUAGUAACGUGGCUAUGUGCUUUAGGUCAGACACUGCAUCUCUUUAGGCUUCCACUUUCUUUUCUGUGAAAUAGAAUGAGGAUGUUUGCUAUACCUGUGUCAGAGUUGACGAGUGGGAAGAAUGGGCUAAUGACGUGCAAAUGCAUCCUAAAGGUCCCCUGUUAGGAAUGCCAACUGAGGACAAGAGAGAAACUUCUGUUUUCUUCAGAGAAAAAAAACACAUCUGGGCCUGUGUUACUCAGUGAAGAUAAAGGUUUAAAAAUUCUAAAAUCCUUAGAAGAGACUUGUAUAAAGGAAACUGAAAAUGCCUGACUAUGGAGUCACCAAUUUAGAGACUAAAAGAAACUUUGGGUUUUCAGUGGCAAAGGGAGAAAGAGAAAGAAGGAUUUCAGCACGCCUGGAAAUGGCAGGAAGUGUAAGAAAAUCUGGAAUCCAGGAACAUUUAAUCACGCCACAUUAUGAGGUCACUCUCUCUGGAUCAGGAUGUGACCAACUUUUGUGGAGUCGAGUCAGUUGGCUUCAUUAUUCCCCUGCAACAUUUCCUUUGCACUCGUCGAUUUCCAUGGCUACAUGAUGAUUACUUCCUGAGAAACAAAGGAACACAUGUGUUUGGAAGUAAAAAGGAAGCAUACAGAUCACCUAUUGAACCACAGCCCUGUAAAACCUGGUAUAAAUGGAAACUUUUCUUUUUAUCAUAGAGUGUUUGAAGUAAAGGAAUUCACAUUAAUCAUUCCCUCAGUUUUUACUG
rnacentral:lncRNA from 1 species